rnacentral:rRNA from 1 species
UGGGGAAUAUUGCACAAUGGGGGGAACCCUGAUGCAGCCAUGCCGCGUGAAUGAAGAAGGCCUUCGGGUUGUAAAGUUCUUUCGGUGACGAGGAAGGUUGAUAGGUUAAUAGCCUAUCAAAUUGGCGUUAAUCACAGAAGAAGCACCGGCUAACUCCGUGCCAGCAGCCGCGGUAAUACGGGGGGUGCGAGCGUUAAUCGGAAUAACUGGGCGUAAAGGGCACGCAGGCGGUGACUUAAGUGAGAUGUGAAAGCCCCGAGCUUAACUUGGGAAUUGCAUUUCAUACUGGGUCGCUAGAGUACUUUAGGGAGGGGUAGAAUUCCACGUGUAGCGGUGAAAUGCGUAGAGAUGUGGAGGAAUACCGAAGGCGAAGGCAGCCCCUUGGGAAUGUACUGACGCUCAUGUGCGAAAGCGUGGGGAGCAAACAGGAUUAGAUACCCUGGUAGUCCACGCUGUAAACGAUGUCGAUUUGGGGAUUGGGCUUUGAGCUUGGUGCCCGUAGCUAACGUGAUAAAUCGACCGCCUGGGGAGUACGGCCGCAAGGUUA